AAUGAUGUGCCUGAUUAAAGGAUUACUGUGAUAGAGUAAAUCAAGUAAUGAAUAAUUACCUUCAUUU
rnacentral:tRNA from 1 species